GGGAUUGCCUCAGUAACGGCGAGUGAAGCGGCAACAGCUCAAAUUUGAAAUCUGGUCCCCACAGGGCCCGAGUUGUAAUUUGCAGAGGGCGCUUCGGGUGCAGCACCGGUCUAAGUUCCUUGGAACAGGGCGUCAUAGAGGGUGAGAAUCCCGUAUGUGACUGGAUGCCUAGCCCAUGUGAAGCCCCUUCGACGAGUCGAGUUGUUUGGGAAUGCAGCUCUAAAUGGGUGGUAAAUUUCAUCUAAAGCUAAAUACCGGCCAGAGACCGAUAGCGCACAAGUAGAGUGAUCGAAAGAUGAAAAGCACUUUGGAAAGAGAGUUAAACAGCACGUGAAAUUGUUGAAAGGGAAGCGCUUGCAAUCAGACUUGCCCGCAGUGGUUCAGCCGGUGUUCUCACCGGUGUACACCUCUGCGGUCAGGCCAGCAUCGGCUUGGGCGGUUGGAUAAAGGCCUUCAGAAUGUAGCUCCUCUCGGGGAGUGUUAUAGCUGGAGGUGCAAUGCAGCCUGCCUGGGCCGAGGACCGCGCUUCGGCUAGGAUGCUGGCGUAAUGGUUGCAAGCGACCCGUCUUGAAACACGGACCAAGGAGUCUAACAUCUAUGCAAGUGUUUGGGUGUCAAACCCAUGCGCGUAAUGAAAGUGAACGGAGGUGGGAACCCUCAAGGGGGCACCAUCGACCGAUCCUGAUGUCUUCGGAUGGAUUUGAGUAGGAGCAUAGCUGUUGGGACCCGAAAGAUGGUGAACUAUGCCUGAAUAGGGUGAAGCCAGAGGAAACUCUGGUGGAGGCUCGCAGCGGUUCUGACGUGCAAAUCGAUCGUCAAAUUUGGGUAUAGGGG
rnacentral:rRNA from 1 species